UUUUGAUCAAGCCGCCAUUAAUAUCUUGCGCCCUUUCAUCAAGUAAAGUGUAACGGAGUUAGACAUGGCCCGUAUUGCCGGUGUCAACAUUCCUGAC
rfam:Bacterioplanes sanyensis strain NV9 chromosome, complete genome.